UAACUUUUAUAGUACUUUUAUAAUCAUAGUGCUAGAAAAUACUCUUAUUGUUCAUCUUAAAUUACUUUGUGUGUAGCUUAGGAUAAAUGGAAUGAGUAGUUAUGCUGAAUCAUCUCCAGCAUGCUUGAGAAGCAGGAUCUGUGGUGUCAGUGACAUAUUGAAAAGAUUAAGUCAAAACCCUGUAGUCUUGAAUUUAGAAGGUCUGGUAUCUUUUAGUGGGGAACACUAUUUUUAGAUCAAAAUUGCUGCUAGGUUGGUUAUUUUUUCCAGGACUUUCAGUGUUUGGAGCUGGAAUAUAUGUCUCUUCUUGAUUAUACAAUGUAAGCCCCUUGGAUCUUAAAUGUCACUUUGAGAAGAAUAAAGGGAAGACAGUAGUCCCAAAUGGACUGAGUUUGAAGGUACUGAGAAAAUCCUGAAGUUGCUGAAGAACCUGGAAUUCAGUUUUCUGCCAUCCGUGGAAUGAGAGAGGCUUCUAGGACUGUCAAGGCUGAUACCAUCUGUGUCUGACAGAAGGAAUCUUCCGUGAUGAUCUGUCCUUCCGUGACAGAAGGAAUCUCCCUCUCUGAGGGAAUGUGAUGCUGUUAUAUUAGUCUUCUGGAGCUGCCAUAACAAAACACCUUCAACUGCGCAGCUUACACAACAGAAAUUCAUUGUCUUAUGAAUCUGGAGGCGAGAAGUUCAAGAUCAACGUUCUGUGGUUCAAAGCAUAGACCCCGCUAUCAGGAUGCCUGGACUCAAAUCCUAGCUGUGCUCCUUACUCUCUGGGUGACCACAGUUAAAAAACAGGAAACUAGCUGAAUGGAAGAUUUGACAAUAAAGUAU